rnacentral:rRNA from 1 species
AUUGAACGCUGGCGGCAGGCCUAACACAUGCAAGUCGAGCGGUAACAUAGGGAGCUUGCUCCCGGGUGACGAGCGGCGGACGGGUGAGUAAUGUCUGGGAAACUGCCUGAUGGAGGGGGAUAACUACUGGAAACGGUAGCUAAUACCGCAUAACGUCGCAAGACCAAAGAGGGGGACCUUCGGGCCUCUUGCCAUCAGAUGUGCCCAGAUGGGAUUAGCUAGUAGGUGGGGUAACGGCUCACCUAGGCGACGAUCCCUAGCUGGUCUGAGAGGAGGACCAGCCACACUGGAACUGAGAAACGGACCAGACUCCUACGGGAGGCAGCAGUGGGGAAUAUUGCACAAUGGGCGCAAGCCUGAUGCAGCCAUGCCGCGUGUAUGAAGAAGGCCUUCGGGUUGUAAAGUACUUUCAGCGGGGAGGAAGGUGUUGAGGUUAAUAACCUCAGCAAUUGACGUUACCCGCAGAAGAAGCACCGGCUAACUCCGUGCCAGCCGCCGCCGUAA